rnacentral:rRNA from 1 species
AACGAAUGCUGGCGGCAGGCUUAACACAUGCAAGCCGAACGCAUCCUUCGGGGUGAGUGGCAGACGGGUGAGUAACGCGUGGGAACGUGCCCUUCAGUUCGGGAUAACCCAGGGAAACUUGGGCUAAUACCGGAUACGUGCGAGAGCAGAAAGAUUUAUCGCUGAAGGAUCGGCCCGCGUCUGAUUAGCUAGUUGGUGGGGUAAUGGCCCACCAAGGCGACGAUCAGUAGCUGGUCUGAGAGGAUGAUCAGCCACAUUGGGACUGAGACACGGCCCAAACUCCUACGGGAGUAAGCAGGGGGGAAUAUUGGACAAUGGGCGCAAGCCGGAUCCAGCCAUGCCGCGUGAGUGAUGAAGGCCUUAGGUGUGUAAAGCUCUUUCGUCCGGGACGAUAAUGACGGUACCGGAAGAAGAAGCCCCGGCUAACUUCGUGCCAGCAGCCGCAGUAAUAC